rnacentral:snoRNA from 1 species
AUGUUUAGAUUAUGACACUUUCUGAAGUAAUCUUUGAAUCUUUCCCAUACUUCUGAAUAGCUCUCGAGGUCUCUUUGCUUGAAAAUAUGGACUUCAUUUUUGAUCU